CAAUUUGACAACUAAAUUAGCUAAGUCGCUCUUCAUAUUGUGCUCUAUGUUUCCUGAGGAUCAUGAAAUCCAUAUAGAGGAUUUAAUUCGUUUUGGCAAAGGGACUCUUAAGCUUGGUGAAAGAAUUUACACAAUGGAGAAAACAAGGAA